rnacentral:rRNA from 1 species
UACGUAGGGCGCAAGCGUUUAUCCGGAAUUAUUGGGCGUAAAGAGCUCGUAGGCGGUUUGUCGCGUCUGCCGUGAAAGUCCAGGGCUCAACCCUGGGAAUGCCGGUGGAUACUGUCGGGCUCGAAUCCGGAAGAGGUGAGUGGAAUUCCUGGUGUAGCGGUGAAAUGCGCAGAUAUCAGGAGGAACACCAAUGGCGAAGGCAGCUCACUGGGACGGUUAUUGACGCUGAGACGCGAAAGCGUGGGGAGCAAACAGG